ACCAAGAUCAAUGAAAUUACCUAAACAAAAAAUCAGAGUAAGUUACGAACUCUAAUAAAUACAACUAACAAUGAUUUUUGUUUAUAUAUUAUCCAUCAAAUAAAAGGAAAACAAACACAGUCACACCAGGAGACAAGAGACAAUCCCGACAGACACAAAGGCGACAACAACAUCUCUACCUGCUCACUUCUCUUGUCUUAUGAAAAUAGCUUACAUGACUAAUGUCAAUAGACCAAUACUAUUGUCUUCUUAUAAGAAAUACAUAAAUUCGUUUAAAACCCAUUAAGCUCAAAUACUCAGAAUUGACACUCAUUUUAUAAUUAGUUCUACAAGUCUUCAUGUAUUUGUUUUAAAGGUCCGGUAAAAGCAACAAGUUUAAAAAUAAAAUAAAAACAUAUAACAAACAUAAUAAGGAUAAUAAAAAUUAUUACUUAAUACACACAACUUAUACAACUAAACUGGAAAAAAUAUAUCCAAAAACAAAAGGUGCUAUCAACAACCUUAAUAUACUUUAUGUACUCUCAACAGUACAAGAAAUAUAUUAAAAAGAUAAACAAACAAUAAGUCUUAGUGACACAACAAGCAACACCACGAACUAUAUCAAUCACAUUACUAACACAGUUUAGUCAUUCAUAAGUGGAGAACAAUGCAUAUAUAGUUCAUCGUCACAACUCUAACCCUAUAACAAUAAAAAUCUUGAAAAACAAUGAUUAACCCAAAAUGCAAAAUUCACAACUACAAUAAUCCUAGCAAAUAUUGAGAUGAAACAAGAACUAUGUCCACAACUUCGUGCUUGCGCAGGGGCAAUGCCCCUAGUAAUUGCCCCUAGUAGAUCAUAAUAAGACAGAUUUUCUUAUUUAAACAAAAAAAAAAAACUAAAAUAAUCCACCAAAUUAGCAUAUCCAAUAUAUAAGUGAAUAAAAUAUCAAAAAUAUCUCAAUAGUAAUUUUCCAAAAAAGUUUAAUAUAAAUGAUUUUUCUUAAUUAAUAUGACAUUAUUUUGCUAUGAAAUCUGUGUAUUUAAAAAAUAAAUAUAUUUUAUCUUUACAAACAUAUUAAGUACUAUGUUUUAUAAAUACACUAGAAAAAUAUAUUAUUUUGUAAAAUGUUAUCAAAUGUUUUAUAUAACAUAUCAUUUUGCUUACUUGGAUAUCCAAAAGACAUGAGCAACCAACACCAUGUAAAAACAAUUAAAAUUAUUAUCAGUUCUAUAUUUGAUUAUGAAAAGAAAAAAUGAAAAUAUUUAUGGUACGGAUCAAGAUCUAGUAAUCGUUAAAACCGAAUAUAUAUUAACUGGGGCUUCUAGCUCUGGUGGUAUAGGGCUCACGGCUGUGAGUUCCGCCACCUGGGUUCGAAACCCGGCCACUGGGGAAUUUACAUGCGGACCCUCCAGCGCCCGAGACCAAAGACCGUUAACAGUGAGUCACAUGGUGACGCCCUGGCAAUGUCUUUGCUCGCUUCGGUCUCUAGUCUGGACCACCACGGUAGAUCCAGAACACUCGGUUAUCAAAAAAAAAAAACUGAAAAUAUUCUUUUUAACCCAUAUGCCCUUUUCAUUUCACAAUUCACAAAUUAAAGCCCAUUUGAGUUAAAUAAUUUGAUCCAACCGCUUUUAUUAAAUAAAGUCCAUUUACAACGAACAGCUAUUUUAUUAUUUAAAUUUGAAAUGGUUUUGAUUACUAAUAAAAUAAAAUUUUCUAAGAUAAUUUAAGAUAAUGAUAAUCUUUAAACACGUGAAAUAAAAACUAUAUAAAUUAAAAAUAUUGAAAUUAUGAUAAAUUAUUAGUUUAUAAGGUCAUCAAAUCCCAUAUCUUCGGAUCAAAACAUAGGAAUUAAAAUUGCAAGGAAAACAAAAACAAACCUACAAAUUUACACAAAGGUUUGUUAUCAUUCUUUUUCGUUUGUCACAGGUUCCGUGGCCGUGUAGUGAGCGAAGAUCGCAUAUCAACAAUGGCAGAUUUAUCGGCACCAAGUUUCAUUGCUUCUUUGCUAGCUCUAAUGAAACGAGAAGUAGCUCCUUUGACAUACUCAUGAGCUUGUUUCAGAUUCAUCUUCUUCCCAACUUCGUCCGGGAAGCUAUUGAGGAAGUGAUCGCCAUUAAGAACCGCUGCAAGCUGAACCACUUCACCCUGAAACUCAGAAAGGGCUGCGUUUUCAUUAGGCUCAGUGGUUCUCAUGGGUGCAACGUCAGGUAGAGUCAUGGGACAAUCAGUUCGAGGAGAGGUUAAGUGAGAAACCACGUCUUCGAAAGUAGCAGCCCAAGCAUCUCUGUGUGUUAAGUAAUUGGAAGAAAGAUUGAAAAGU